CCGCGACCUUCUGCUACUCCUCCGCCGCUGCGCCUACUCCACCGCCGUCAGCUGCUGCCCAACGACGUCCUCGGCGACAGGAAGACGGCCAGCAUGACCAUGGCGCACGAGCCUUGACCAGCCAAAUUUGGAUCCAGAGAGCUGGCGGUUGCUGGCGACAGCAGUGGGUGUGCUCCCGUAGGGAGGGGCAGCGCGAGAGAGGUGGUGGCGCAAGGGAGGGACCCGAGGGAGAGAGGAGCUCGAGGAAGGGAGAGAAGAGAUUGGAAGAGGAGAAACAUUCGCGAUGCAGAGAAAGAG
rnacentral:lncRNA from 1 species